rfam:Escherichia fergusonii ECD227 contig00124, whole genome shotgun sequence.
UAUCCUUUGUGCCCGGCAAAAACAUUCCCACAGCCGGAGCUAAUAAGUAAUG